AGAGUUUGAUCAUGGCUCAGAACGAACGCUGGCGGCAUGCCUAACACAUGCAAGUCGAACGAGAAGCCAUCUUCGGGUGGUGGACAGUGGCGCACGGGUGAGUAACGCGUGGGAACCUGCCCCGAGGUUCGGAAUAACGGCUGGAAACGGCCGCUAAUACCGGAUGUGACCUGAGGGUGAAAGAUUUAUCGCCUUGGGAGGGGCCCGCGUCCGAUUAGCUUGUUGGUGUGGUAACGGCGCACCAAGGCAUCGAUCGGUAGCUGGUCUGAGAGGAUGAUCAGCCACACUGGGACUGAGACACGGCCCAGACUCCUACGGGAGGCAGCAGUGGGGAAUAUUGGACAAUGGGGGCAACCCUGAUCCAGCAAUGCCGCGUGUGUGAAGAAGGCCUUAGGGUUGUAAAGCACUUUCAGUCGUGACGAUGAUGACGGUAGCGACAGAAGAAGCCCCGGCUAACUCCGUGCCAGCAGCCGCGGUAAUACGGAGGGGGCAAGCGUUGUUCGGAAUUACUGGGCGUAAAGGGCGUGUAGGCGGCCAAGUCAGUCAGGCGUGAAAGCCCGGGGCUCAACCCCGGAAUAGCGCUUGAUACUGCGGGGCUAGAGACCGGAAGAGGGUAGUGGAAUUCCCAGUGUAGAGGUGAAAUUCGUAGAUAUUGGGAAGAACACCAGUGGCGAAGGCGGCUACCUGGUCCGGAUCUGACGCUGAGGCGCGAAAGCGUGGGGAGCAAACAGGAUUAGAUACCCU
rnacentral:rRNA from 1 species